rnacentral:rRNA from 1 species
GUGCCAGCAGCCGCGGUAAUACGUAGGGGGCAAGCGUUGUCCGGAAUUAUUGGGCGUAAAGCGCGCGCAGGCGGUCCUUUAGUCUGAUGUGAAAGCCCACGGCUUAACCGUGGAGGGUCAUUGGAAACUGAGGGACUUGAGUACAGAAGAGGAGAGUGGAAUUCCACGUGUAGCGGUGAAAUGCGUAGAAGAUGUGGAGGAACACCAGUGGCGAAGGCGACUCUCUGGUCUGUAACUGACGCUGAGGUGCGAAAGCGUGGGUAGCAAACAGGAUUAGAUACCCUGGUAGUCC